rnacentral:rRNA from 1 species
UCCUACGGGAGGCAGCAGUGGGGAAUAUUGCACAAUGGGCGGAAGCCUGAUGCAGCAACGCCGCGUGCGGGAUGACGGCCUUCGGGUUGUAAACCGCUUUCGCCUGUGACGAAGCGUGAGUGACGGUAAUGGGUAAAGAAGCACCGGCUAACUACGUGCCAGCAGCCGCGGUGAUACGUAGGGUGCGAGCGUUGUCCGGAUUUAUUGGGCGUAAAGGGCUCGUAGGUGGUUGAUCGCGUCGGAAGUGUAAUCUUGGGGCUUAACCCUGAGCGUGCUUUCGAUACGGGUUGACUUGAGGAAGGUAGGGGAGAAUGGAAUUCCUGGUGGAGCGGUGGAAUGCGCAGAUAUCAGGAGGAACACCAGUGGCGAAGGCGGUUCUCUGGGCCUUUCCUGACGCUGAGGAGCGAAAGCGUGGGGAGCGAACAGGCUUAGAUACCCUGGUAGUCCACGCUGUAAACGGUGGGUACUAGGUGUGGGGUCCAUUCCACGGGUUCCGUGCCGUAGCUAACGCUUUAAGUACCCCGCCUGGGGAGUACGGCCGCAAGGCUAAAACUCAAAGGAAUUGACGGGGGCCCGCACAAG